rnacentral:rRNA from 1 species
UGGGGAAUUUUGGACAAUGGGCGCAAGCCUGAUCCAGCCAUGCCGCGUGCAGGAUGAAGGCCCUCGGGUUGUAAACUGCUUUUGUACGGAACGAAAAGCCUCUUUCUAAUAAAGAGGGGUGAUGACGGUACCGUAAGAAUAAGCACCGGCUACCUACCUG